rnacentral:rRNA from 3 species
UGACCUCAAAUCGGGUGAGACUACCCGCUGAACUUAAG